UACGUAGGUGGCGAGCGUUGUCCGGAAUUACUGGGUGUAAAGGGCGUGUAGGCGGGGAUGUAAGUCAGAUGUGAAAUCCCAUGGCUCAACUGUGGGGCUGCAUCUGAAACUAUGUCUCUUGAGUGCCGGAGAGGAAAGCGGAAUUCCUAGUGUAGCGGUGAAAUGCGUAGAUAUUAGGAGGAACACCAGUGGCGAAGGCGGCUUUCUGGACGGUAACUGACGCUGAGGCGCGAAAGCGUGGGGAGCAAACAGGAUUAGAUACCCUGGUAGUCCACGCCGUAAACGAUGGAUACUAGGUGUAGGAGGUAUCGACCCCUUCUGUGCCGGAGUUAACACAAUAAGUAUCCCACCUGGGGAGUACGGCCGCAAGGUUGAA
rnacentral:rRNA from 1 species